AACACUCCCGUACACUUUAAAUCUGGGUGAAGCAGAACUCAGAGAAGGAUGAUUUUAGGACAUUGUAUUUUAUUUGUGCUCAUUUCAUAUUCUUAUGGACAGUCCCUGACCUCCUCUGCUUCUGUGGUGAAGAGACCUGGAGAGUCAGUCACUCUGUCCUGUACUGUCUCCGGAUUCUCAAUGGGCAGCUACUGGAUGAGCUGGAUCCGUCAGAAACCAGGAAAAGGAUUGGAGUGGAUCGGGCACAUUGACACUGGCACUGGCACAACAUUCGCUCAGUCUCUGCAGGGCCAGUUCUCCAUCACUAAAGACACCAAUAAAAACAUGCUGUACCUUGAAGUGAAGAGUCUGAAAGCUGAAGACACGGCUGUUUAUUACUGUGCACGAGACUCACACUGA